CGGUGACAAUGCAAAAGGACUUAAUCCCAUGGAACUCUGUGCAGAGGUUGAGCCCAGAAGAGGAGAUGGAACAGGUGAUGACCUAAAAAGAUGCAAGAAGCACAGAUUGCCUGUAACAGAUCAACUAUUUUAUGAACUUUUUAUAAUCAAAGUCUGAAAAAUAACUUCAUUUUUGGCUCAACACAUGUUAGAUUCCCAUGUCUUUGCUGUUGUUGCUGUUAAUGAAAUCCCUUCUCAUUUUACAGCACACUUUGCAGAAGGAAACAAGUUUCUAGGCAUGCCGAUCUAGACACUACUAAACACCUCUAGGAAAAAUCACCUCAACAUGGCUAACACACUACUGGAUUCACACAUCUUAAGCAGUUGCCAGUGCAAAAUCUCUGAAAAGGACAAAUUUUUGCCAGCUUUCGUUUUGCAGGACUCCGCAUGCCUCAUUGAGAAGCUUCUCUGGUGAUAUCAAGAGAGUGCCAUGUUUACAGCCGUACAUUUAUUUUUGCAACUGAUCAUUUCAUUAAACACACAGACAAUUAUGAAACAGAACCAAAAUUCCUGUUACAAUAUCAAACAUUCCCCAAAUACCAAAAUUACAUUAAACAUUUUACUUCUUUCAAUAAAAAUCAUUAACAACUUUAA